GCAUCAGUGGGGUAGUGGUAACCUGGGUCGUUGCCAUCGUAACUCAUCACGUGAUGUGUGGUAUAAGCGGGUUCGACCCGCCGGGGGUUCGAUUCCCCCCUGAUGCA